CACUGCGUUUGCUUCUUUUCUGUUGUCAGCAGAUAGGGGAAUUAAUUCCGCAUUUUAGCUCUGACGUCCAUUUUUUAUGACCUUUCUACUAAGAGCUAUGUUAGAAGUAAAGGAUGGUGGUGGUUUUAUUAACUGUGUUACCUGUUCAGGCCAUUCUGGCUGUGUAUUUUUCAACAGGUCAGCAUCCCUAAAUCUGUCCGUUUUAUACAAGUGUGUAGCGUGAACUAGGCAACUCGAUUAAGAGGUCUGAAUAUGAAAUACCAGUUUGGGCUGAGGACCUCUUUGUCUUCCUUUCAGUGUCUUGUGCCUAGGGCGUGUUUACCACACGUGAGGCAGCCUCGUCUGCUCUUGCACUGUACAUCUUAAUACACCAUUGGGAAGUAGGCUCACUUUCCUCUGGGCCUUUUGCCUAAGUUAGGCUUUGCUGAAUCAACCCUACUUUUCCUUUUAGAAAGGUUGUUACAUGAGAUGUACUUGCAACUGUUCUUUUCCCAUCAAAAACCAGUGAAUGUUUGCCGAGUAUAUUAUGCUGCUUCCUAAACCACUUGUCGCUUUAGGAUCGACUUUACCUGUACCUUGUUCUUCCCCUUCUUGCCACCUCAGGUGAAAAUCUGAACUCAGUGUCUGCUUCUUCCAUAUUCUCUCUUCCUCCCUCCCCCAUCAUCCUACUUGACCUUUACUUUAAUGCCAUCAAUCUUAAGUGACAUUUAUGAAGACUAAGGAAAAUUUUUUAGAGGAAAGCUUGAAUAAGUUCCUUUCCCUGGUAACUUUGAAGAGCAGCCCAGAGUUGCUGCAUAGAUGUAUGUGGCUCCCUUCAGAUGCUUUGUGUGUGGUGUUUUUCAGCCAUCUUCCCAGUUAACUCUGCAGUGUCUAGAUCUGAGUGUCAUUCAUCCUCUCCCCUCGCUCCUCUGAAACAAGACUCCAGAAGCAGUGUGCACUUCCUCAUAACCCCGCCUGUGGAGGAGCAGUACUUCCUAGAGCUGCUUUCUAGUUCCAGUGUCGGCAUACUACCCAAGGACACUGCGGUUGUUGGGUGCAUUUGCUAAUUGGUAUGACAAGGUGAACUGGCCUUUUCUACUUCCAAGCUUUUACUAGCAAUCCUCAUAUUUGACAGGAUUCCCAGAGUUAACUGCUCUCGUUAGUAGCUUCAGUGCCCCCAGAUGGGCUAGGCAAGCCAUAUUAUAUGACAGCUUCCCUACUACAUACACCUACCUGAGUCUGUCAGAAAGUUCAGUCAGCACAAGGGUCUCCGUGUCAUUUUGAGGUCAGUGACAUUGUCUUCUGAAAAGUGCAUGCUUCACCCAAACAGUUCAAUGAGCAGCAGAUGGACUUCCAUUGAUUUACAAUAAAAUUUUGAUCCAAAGCUCAGGACUCAAACCAUAGUGGUAAAAUGGAGUAGUGUAUAAUAUCAGACUAAAUUUUGCGUAAUUUGCUACCACCCAGGUCAUAUGGUUUUAUGUGUGUUUAAAUUAAAUAAAUAUAUUAAAUACACGUGUAUACAUACACACAUAUAUAACAGAUCCAAGACGGACUUGAUUUGAAAUGGUUGAAUCUACAGUGGAGUGCAUGGUUCAGCCACGAUUAGGAAUUCAAAUUUAGUACAAGAAAGAAAAGGAUGUAAUGUGACAAAUUCUUAAUAGCUACAUAUCCUGGUAUAGAGCACUUGGGGGAUGGGAUGGGGUGGGUUGGUGAGACAAUCAGAUCGGUAAAUUGAUUAAAAUGCUCCUAACCCUGUAAUUUUGUGCAUAGAGCACCCUGUGCUGUGGAAAUAACUGUUAGAUUUUCAUUGUAACUGGACUGUUCAGGUUGCCCAGAGGGAAAGAACAUUCCUAAUUCUAAUAAAAUAAACUUUUAUUUUGUUAUUGCAUUA
ensembl:lncRNA